AUGAUUCAAUUCAAUACGGCAUCAGGUCUCCCUGCUGCAAGAUUGAUUCCCAGCCCGUGGAAGAAAAGUUUUAGAAUCAUCAUUCACAAACUUUGUGCCCCCUCAGCCUCAGGCUCGAUCCAAGGUGAGUGUCCUGAGAUAUUUGGAGAGCUGGUAAAUGCGAGACCUUUACACUUAUUUUACAUUUACUGUCUUGACAUUUUAACAAAUCCGGCCAAAUAUUGAAAUAUUUUGGUCAAUGUGAUGUUGCAUGUGGCUCGCAGGCGGAUCCUCUUUCACCAAAUUGCUACGCUUACGUCUUAUAUUUAAGACGCUAGGCCAAAGAUUGUUCUAUUUCUUUCUGAGCAAAACACGCUGCUCAGAAAGGCUGCUAAUUGCAUAUUUGGCGAUGACUUGAGAGCUCGAUACAGCUUCACAAUUUUGAAUGAUUGUCUAUUGUCCACAGCUGAAGCCUCAUUAAGGGACAGCGCAGGAACUCCAACUCAGCCUCUUGCACAGCAACCUCUGCUCUCCUAAGGAGUGGGAAAGAACAUUUAAAUUAGCCUUAAGGAGGAAUUCAUCUUAAUGACUUCUAUUCAUUAACAACUAAUUAAAUAUUCACAUGCAGGCCUCAGUCUAGCCCUACACACCCAAUCUUUGUCUUUGUCUCUUAUUCCAUUGGUGGUCUGCUGCACACAGUACUCUGCUUUACGUGAGAGGAAGUCAAAAGUAAAUCGCAUUGUGCCACUGCAUGUAUGAGUUAUGGGCUUAGCAAAAUGGGCACCUAGUCAAUAGUAUGGCAUGAUGGAAAUUAUAUUUCGCUGAGGAGAUAAUUGAAAAUCAAAUCACCAGCAAUUACGCUUUACUGCUGACCAUGAAAAUUGCUUAUAUGGGUACGUAUUGUGAAUGAUUUAGGUUAAACACUGAAGAAUUUCCAAGCCCUGUUUUCAAAUUUCACACGUGAAACGCUGAGAUACCGUUUCUAUAUAAUCAUGAAAUAAAAACUUUUGCUCCCCCCCACCUCAACUGCUGUUUUGAGAGAGACAUGGGGAAAUUUCUUGAUAAAGACAUUUGAAGAUUCCUUUUCCAUGAUUUACCAGGCAGCUGGCCGGCCACAUGGGCCCCAAUCAAUAAGUUUAAGUCACAUUGUUAGCUCCGUAGGACAGAAUUAAUUUUACAGAGCUAAGAGAUGAGUAAAGCCCUCCACUACUGUCAAAUAUAUAGAUCAGCAUGCGGGGGGAGGAGAUGAAAACACUAUUGCAUCCUACACCCAAAGAGGUUAUGUGCAAUUUUAGUGAAUAUGGCCCAUUUAGUUUAGAAUAAGAUGUAGUUUUGUUGCCUUGCAACGCGUUAAAGAGAUCACGACUCUGUCUUAUUACACCUUAUGGCUUUACUGUAUAUCUUGCUAUGAAUCCAAAUCUUUUUAAAUUGCAAAGCAAUAGAAAUAAAACUAGGGGAAUAGUUUUAAUUUCAUUUUAUUACAACGAUGAUCAUGUUACACAUCAACUGCGUCUUUUGAUUAUGUGCAUCAUAUAACAAGAACAACGCUGUGGCCAUCAGUUCCCUCACAUUUCCAACUUCAUUUCCUUUGACUAUUCAAAAUUAUUGAGGUCCAAGCUAAUUUUCUCCUCUCUAACAAUGUAGACAGUAGUUAUGAAUGGAGGUUAUAUUGCACAGACCAGUGAAGCUCUGUGAUUGCAUUCUCCGUCUCCCUCUCUCUCUCUCUCUCUCUUACUUCCAGGUGUCGUUGGUGAAAGUGAUUGACAGAACUCACAAUAGAUUUUGAAAUAACAGGUUUGUUUAAUGUCUGAACUGUGCUGGCAUAAUCAAAUCAUCGUCAGACAUCAUCAAACAGCUCAAAGUCCCCGACCAAUCACUCAUUAAUCAGUUACCUCUGAUGGUUUAUUAAGAUGUGGGGAAAAAAAAGGUGUUAAUUGUAUGAAGGAAUUCAAUAAUUCAAACGGUGACACAUUAGUCUGCAAAUGAACAAGUUAUCACAGCGCGCGUAUUCAAACUGACUCGUGCUCUCCCUGUUUAAUUGCGCCAAUCGUCAUUCUGAGUCAUUAUUUUUUUUCCCGUUUUCCCCUUGGCGAGUAAUUACGUUGACCUUGCUGUUGUAUGUGGCUGUUUGAAUUAGAUUUGUUUAAAACGGAUAUCGCUAUAGACGCUGCUUUUUAUUUACCAUAUCCAAAUAUGUUAAGAUUUUGAAUACGAAGUUCACUGCUGCAAGAGGUCAGCGGUAGAAGUACCGUAGACCUGGUAGGUUCGUCCAGUUUGUUUAUUUCAAUGGAUUUGCCCAUAUUCUGUGAAGUAGUGGAGCUAAUUCUCUGCCCUGUCACCCUCACCUUAGCCAUUACCUUUAAAGCUCAUCAACCAUCAAAAUAAACCACAAUGCUCUGAGGCGAAAAGUAUUUGUGCCGUAUCUCCUUUCACCAGUAGAGGCGCUAAUUUAGGAAAUGGUCGAUUUGGUCGUAUUACAGCACAUGCUACAUAGUUUGUCGUACGAGUUGGAGGACUUUUUGCUUUUAUUUCUGGUUUGUUUGUUUUUUUGUUUGUUUUUUUAAUUUGAAAUAAUUGAAUGAAUAGAUAACGGAUUUUAAAAGCCAUCCUAUGACCCAACCACUGGCACGUACAGCGGGACAUGGAUUAAGCCGCGUGAUGAGCCAGGUUGUAUUCACCUCUCCGUCUCUCUCUUUCACCCAGUGAGGGGAGGCUUGGAGCCGCAGCCUCCUUUUCCACUCCACUAGAGCCUAUCACUGCUGCAGCCGGAGGGCCAGGACCCGGCAGCAUGGCGGCAGCUGAGGCCGGUGCAGAGGGGGGAACAGCUGAGAGGGAACAGGCAAGCAGCUAGAGGUGAAAGCAGCAGCAGCAGCAGUCGCAGGAGGACGGAGAUGGAUGAACAGUACUCCCCAGGAUCAAUCAGGCACUCAUAGCCACAGCAGAUCAUCUUUCUCCAGGAGCAUGUUACUGCUGCUGCACCACUUCGUCCCUGCCCCCUAUAAACCACAUCACCCCACUUGCCCGGGAGGAGAGAGGGAGGAAACAUGAGAGGGAAAGUUCGCUGCUGUAUCUCCCUCACAGAGAGGGGGAGGGAGGGAGAGAGAAGGGUUUGGAGAAGGGGUCGGUCGGAGGAUGUAUUGACUGUUUUCACUGUGAUAUAAUUGCAAUUAAAGGUUGCAAACAGCCCAGUGGAUCAGUUUCUCUGCUGUCACCGGGACACAUGGCAGCGCUGAUGCAUCCCCACACACUUCCUCAGAUAGCAGGGGACGAUUGCUAAUGAUGUCUGCCCCUGCAGACUAUGUGUAGAUUAGUGCCAUGGCGCGCAGUCGUUUAGCGCCACAACUCCUCGCACAUCAGACAUUAACAAGUAUUUUACUGAGAAAUAACACCACAGCCCCGAAGAGACGACAGCAGGAGGAGCAGUGUUAACUCGCUGUUACACUCUUAGGUCAGGAAGAGACUGGAUUUGAGAUCAGAUAAAUAAGUGCGUGUAAAUGAGAAUUUGCCCGUUUGUUCAUAUGAAAAUGUUGUCAUUCCUAUUUUGUCCUUGAUGCAGUUUAUUUUUUUUCUAAUGCUUGAAUAGUUGAAGGAUGUUUUGCUUUGAUAUCUUUAAAUUCAGAACACCGACUUUAUGACACUGCUGCUGAAAACCCCAUAAAAAUAUAAUUAAAUGAAACUUUGAAUAAAUCAAGGUUGUACAUAGAUGAAUGAAGUUGGGCAAAUGAAGGUGUUCUGCACAUUACAAAUCAACCUAAUAAAUAUCUUAUCACCCAACUCUAUACUGUAGUUCCCCUCCACUCCACAGGGUUUUGGCAUUUUCAGGUUAUUUUCUUAUGAUAUAUCAGCUUGCAGCAACUUUUUAUCUAUUAUACAUAGAUAGAGGACACUACUUCUACUCUGAAAUGUCUUUGCAUUGUUUUAAUUUUCAAAUAUUUUCAAAUCUAAUUUGUUGUGCAGUAUAACUUUAUACCACAUUCUUUGCCCUAUCACUGUUCACCUGCCUCACGUGCCUUAACUUAUUAUUCAUACACCGUAGAUUGAGGUCAUCAUAUUGUUUAUUCGUCUUGUUUUAUCUUAUUUUCUAAUGCUGCUGGUCUUUUGAGAAUUAACAAGAAUAAUUUUGUUGCAUGCCUUGAUUACGAGUAACGCAUCAACACUGCUUCAAAGACACAGGUGGAAAGAAAAACAAGUAUGUACAAAUACAAUGAAGGUACACUGAGCAAAUAUUUCUGUUAGUGCCGUUCCCAAGUGUGCAGGACUGCUUUUGUCCUUAUUAUUUGUAUCUGCAAAUAUCUCCGCUUUUCUUUUUUUUACUUCUGAAAGCAAUCUCAGUUUCUGUCCAACAUUUUGCAGCUCAGAGAAAAUUGUGGAUCACCACCACAUACCAGAACUAAUAACAAUGCAUGCUAGAUUGAAUGACUGUACAUACUGGCAGCAGUGUCAACUUCUUUCAAAGGGGAUUGAAAUUCAGACUAACAGUUUGAUCCUUUCAAAUAGUGUCGCAUCGACAUAAUCAACAGUUACCCUGCGAUAACCCUGCCUGACUAUCCAUCUCACACCCAAUCAGUGCAUCCCAUUAAAUUAUUUUUUUUUGGAACCUCAAUUUCCUGCCCGUGUAUGAGAGCCAUCUUUAUGGGAACUAAAUCGACUGUUCAUUAACGAGAGGAAGCUGUAUCAAGAACAAACAUCUUUAAUUAACACAUCCACCAGCACUUCCUGUCUUUGAUCUCUCCAUCUGAUUUAUG
ensembl:lncRNA